UACAGAGGGGGCCAGCGUUAUUCGGAAUUAUUGGGCGUAAAGGGCGCGUAGGCGGUCAGCACAAGUCAAUUGUGAAAUCUCCGAGCUUAACUCGGAAAGGUCAACUGAAACUGUGCGACUAGAGUGCGGAAGGGGCAACUGGAAUUCUUGGUGUAGCGGUGAAAUGCGUAGAUAUCUGGAGGAAUACCGGUGGCGAAGGCGGCAUCCUGGACCGGCAUUGACGCUGAGGAGCGAAAGCCAGGGGAGCAACGGG
rnacentral:rRNA from 1 species